ACCUCCAGCUUCACGUUGGUGCCUGACAGCUGCCACACUGGACUCGGACUGAGCCGAACUGUCGUUCCUGUGAUGCCCCAGGGCGGGCUGAGCUGGUCGGGGUUGCGAUGCCUUAUGUGGACCGACAGAAUCGCAUCUGCGGCUUCCUGGACAUCGAGGAGAAUGAGAACAGCGGGCGGUUCCUGCGGCGAUACUUCAUCCUGGACACUCAGCAGGGCAGCCUGCUGUGGUUCAUGGACAACCCACAGAAUCUGCCUAAAGGUGCAGAGAACGUGGGGUCUCUCAAACUCACCUACAUCUCCAAGGUCAGUGAUGCCACCAAACUCAGACCAAAGGCUGAGUUCUGCUUCGUUGUCAAUGCUGGCAUGAGGAAGUUUUAUCUGCAGGCCAACGACCAGCAGGAUUUGGUGGACUGGAUCAGCGCUCUCAACAACGCCACCAAGAUUACUGUGCCAAAGCCAGGCGAGGGCCACACCGCCCAUGCAGAGGCUCCCCAGGAGGCCGCCGGAGCCACGAAGCAGGUCUCCUACAAGACUGAGAUCAUAGGAGGAGUCCCUAUCAUCACCGCAACACAGGAGCAGGGGGAGGGGCAGAACGGGGCGGAGCGCGGAGGUUUGAAGAGAGGUCAGAACCAGCUGCCCUACUAUCUGUCCAGAGGAGUGCAGGAUCAGGGCAUCAUCAAGGCCGGAUACUGUGUCAAACAGGGAGCUGUGAUGAAGAACUGGAAGAGACGGUACUUCAUGCUGGAAGAAAACGCUCUCAGCUACUACAAAUCUGACCUGGAGAGAGAGGCUCUGAGGCUCAUACCGUUAAAGGAGAUCCACAAAGUCCAGGAGUGCAAACAGAGCGAGCUGAUGAUGAGGGACAACCUGUUUGAAAUGGUCACCAGCUCCAGAACCUUCUACAUACAGGCUGACAGUCCAGAGGACAUGCACAGCUGGAUCAAAGCCAUCUCAGGUGCAAUCGUGGCUCAGCGCGGCCCCGGACGCUCGGCUAACACUAGAGUGAGGUGUGACAGUGACGUACUAACCCUCCCCAAAUGAGCCCCGCUGCCUACUUCCUGCCCCUCCUCCACCUGCUGCUCAUCGUCCAAUCACCAAGCCCCACUGCCUCUCUCCGCUUCCUUUGCCACCGCCGCUGUCUGACCCCGCCCUGCUCCCCGGCAGACGCAGCAUCACUUGUUCGAACGUAGCGACCACCCCUCUCCCUCCCCAAGCUCCGCCUCCGUCUUCUACUACCCCCUCGAUGAGGAAUCACACCUCGCCCAGUCCUCCUCCGGCGCCUCCUCAGCGGGCCUUGAGCCUCACCCUGGACCCGCACCGCCAGGAGAACUUCCUGGGCCUGCUCCCGUGGAGGCUGAGCGGCGUCCAGUCGGUGAUGAUGCCCCUCCCUUCGGCUCGGUCGCGCCUGUCCCUGCAGGAGACGGUGCAGACUUCCAAGUGAGGGGGGAGAGCGAGUCGCCGUGGAAGAGGCGCAGCGAGGUCGCCGCCCAGCUGUCGUUCGUCCGCGGCGAGGGCGACGAGGAGCCGAACAGUCGCACCACUGAAAGUUCUGACCUGCAGAUCACCCUGAUAUGAGGAGGAGGAGGAGGAUCUAGAUGAUCUCUACAGGACACACACUUCUACACACACACACACACACACACACACACACACACACACACACACACACACACACACACACACACACACACUUCUACUGGAGACUGUUCUGUGUUUAGAAAACUACCUGACUCUCCUUCUUCAAACCUUCCUGGGACCAUUUCUUUGUAUGUGUGCGCACAUGAUGAAUAUGACCUCCUCCUCUUCCUCCUCCUCCUCCUCCUUCUUCUUCUUCUGCUGUUUUUCUCUCACCUUCGUCUUCCUGGAUUUUAUUUACAAAGUAUCGCUGCAAACAAACAAUCCAAGCCAUGCCGUGAAGAGAAGGAGAAGAAGCCUCGUACAGUCUGACGGGUUUCAUGAUUCGUCUCUGAAGCCAAAGUUUGCAGCCGUGUGUGUUUUUCUUUUUCUACGUUAGCUCUGACGUAAGCUAGUUAAAGUGUUAAACAUCUGAGAGACUGACUAAUCCAGCUCCUCAGUUCCUUUUAAGACAAUCCCCGUUCACAUUAAAUCCCGUGCCAUCCUGUCAAACAGGUUUUUAGCUCUGAUUGUCCCCCUCCUGUGGAUGUUCUCUUAUUUACAAAGAAGUCCUUCGUCCUCUUAAAGACUAGAACACGGAGAUAAGACGAAUCUCAUCAGCUCUCGUUGAAUAUUCAGAAACUGUGAUUUCCCCCGUCGUAGGGUCUGAUCAUGCAAGCAUUUAAAGCACUUAGAUUUCAUACCAGCGUGUGUCCAUUUCAGUGUAACCGCUGCCGUCAGUGGGUUCACGUGUAGAGACAGAGCAGUCUAUUUUUGUGAUGUGGCGAGCUCCUUUUUUUAAAGAAACACGAGGUACCUGAAAGAAGAGGUGGAGAAAACCAUCCCACUGCACCCUCAUCCCAACAUUUAUGAUAUGUUUCUCAACCUUCUACUUGACCCCAAAGCAUGAAGACAGAUGGGACAGUACUUCACUUGUGUUCCAUCAAGUUAAGCCCAUGACACCUUGAGGAAGCUCUGACUUCCUGAACCCAACUAGCUCUCCUCUCUUGUUUCAACGACACACCAAAACAGAGAAGAAAGCAGAAAAAAUCAAAGAGAGGUGUUAGAAAGAAGACAACGAAGGCAGGACGAGAAGCUUGACUAGGCUAGUGCUCAACUCAGCUGGGUCAAGCUGUACGCUCUGCCUCCCCUUACUCCCAGACUCUGAGGAAAGAGAGGAGAGAAAGAAUACAACUUUGAAGACAGACGCUAGAAUGAAGAAAGAGAAGGCACAGUCAGGACUCAGAGCUUAACCCAGCGAAGUCAGGCUGUACGCUCUGCCUCUCCCCGAGUCCUGGACUCUAAUUAGGGAGGAGAGAGAACUCAGAGUCUGCAGAGAGGUGUUAGAAAGAGGACAGGGAAGGCAGAGCCAAAGCCAAGGAUUUCGACCCAGCUGGUUCAAGCUGUACGCUCUACCUCCCCUUACUCACCCACUGCAAUGAGGGAAGAAAGGAGAGAAGAGAGAGAAUUAGAGUCUACCAAGAGAUGCUAGAAAGAGGACAGGGAAAGAAGAGCCAAAGCUAAGGAGUUCGACCCAGCUGGGUCAGACUGUACGCAUUACCUCCCCCUAGUCCUGGACUCUAAUGAGCGAAGGGAGACAACUCAAGAAGCUGCAGAGAUGCUAGAAAUAGGACAGGGAAGGUAGAGCCAGGGCAAAAGAGUUCAACCCAACGAAGUCAGGCUGUAAGCUCCACCUCCCCCUAGUCCUGGACUCUAAUGAGGAAAGAGAGGAGAGAAGAGAGUAAUCAAUUGUCUGCAGUGAGAUGCUAAAAUGAUGAUGGGGAAGACAGAGGCAAGGUGAAAAAGUUGAACCAAGCUGGGUCAGGCUGUACGCUCUGCCUCCCGCUAGUCCUGGACUCUAAUGAGGGAAGUAAGGAAAGAAGAGAGAGAAUAAGAGUCUGCAGAGAGAUACUAGAAAGAGGACAGGGAAGGCAGAGCCAGGGCAAAAGAGAUUAACCCAACAAAGUCAGGCUGUAUGCUCUACCUCCCCUUACUCUCCUACUCUAAUGAGGGAAGAGAGGAAAGAAGAGAGAGACUAAGAGGUAUUAGAAAGAGGACAGGGAAGGCAGAGCCCAUGAGUUUGACCGAGCUGGGUCAGGCUGUACGCUCUACCUCCCCCUACUUCCAAACUCUACCGAGGUGAGUAGGGGGAGAGAAUUAGAGUCUGCAGAGAGAUGCCAGAAAGAGGACAGGGAAGGCAGAGCCAGGGCAAAAAAGCUCAACCCAGCCGGGUCAGGAUGUACGCUCUACCUCCCCCCACUCUAAUGAGGGAAGAGAGAGAAUACAAGUCUGCAGAGAGAUAUUAGAAAGAGGAGAGGGAAUGCAGAUCCAGGGAAAAAGAGCUCAACCCAACUGGGUCAGGCUGUAAUCUCUACCUCCCCCUAGUCCUGGAUUCUAAUGAGGAAAGAGAAGAGAGAUAACAUAAGAGUCUGCAGAGAGAUGUUUGAAAGAGGACAGGGAAGGCUGAGCCAGGGCAAAGGGGCUCAACCCAACAAAGUCAGGCUGUACGCUCUACCACCCCCCGAGUCCUGGACUCUAAUUGGGAAAAAGAGAGAACUCAAGAGUCUGCAUAGAGUUGUUAGAAAGAGGACAGGGAAGGCAGAGCCAAAGCCACAGCCGAGGAUUUCCACCAAGCUUCGUCAGGCUGUACGCUCUACCUCCCCUACUCAGACACUGUAAUGAGAGAAGAGAAAGAAUAAGAGAUCUACCUAAGCACUCUAAUAAGGGAAGAGAGUGAACUCAAGAGUCUGCAGAGAGAUGCUAGAAAGAGGACAGGGAAGGCAAAAGAGUUCAACCCAGUUAUGUCAGGCUGCACGCUCCACCUCCCCCUACUCAGACACUGUAAUAAGAGAAGAGAGAAGAGAAAGAACAAGAGUCUGCAGAGAGAUGUUAGAAAGAGGACAGGGAAGGCAGAGCCAGGGCAAAGGAGCUCAACCCAGCUAGGUCAGGCUGCACGCUCCACCUCCCCCUACUCAGACACUGUAAUAAGAGAAGAGAGAAGAGAAAGAACAAGAGUCUGCAGAGAGAUGCUUGAAAGAGGACAGGGAAGGCAGAGCCAGGGCGAAAAAAGCUGAACCCAGCUGGGUCAGGCUGCACGCUCCACCUCCCCAUACCUACUGAAUAAGGAGUUAGCUUGUUAACUUGUCCCACUAAUAACAAACCCAAGCAACCAAACCAGCAUCCAGUGACACCUUCGUGAAAGGACGAGCCUAAGGGAACGCCUGAUUCAAACGUGAAUUUGACUUCUCAGGUUUCAACGUACGAUUAUUUUAACGAUCCAUCGACCAGCAGAUCAUGGAGUGGGUUAUUUUAAUGCUUAGGAACGCUCAGAAAAAACAGCACAUGUUCUGUUUCAGAGGCUGGAAAAAUCCUGAAGAUAGAUCGCAGUCUUCCAAAUCAACUAGUCAUUUAUUAGCUGCAGCUUUAGUGGAAACCUAAAGCCUUUAAGAGUUCUUUUAUUCCUUUUUAAUGACGUCAGGAUUUGAGAGGUGUUUGGAGCUCAGGAUUGAAGAUUUCAGAGUGAGAUAUAUAUAAAAAGGAGUAUCAGCAGAUCAGUAACUAUUACAGUUAGAGGGUUUAACGCACAAGAGAACUUUCUGUCUAAGAUGUGGAUGUUUCUGAAAGGAGACUCUGCUUUGAGAAUUUUAAAGACAGAUUUAAAAAAGUUAUUAACCCUUUAAAAGAAGCAGGAACACCAACCCUUCCAGGAGACCGACGUGUGUGUCUUUGAUAAACCAGAUGACGUAUUCUUCACUGUGCAAAUCACCAGAAAUCUGAGCUGAUCACUUUAACUGUUCAUGAAAGUGACUUCAAGACGACUCACUGCUGUCCAUUCUGCUCACCAGCUUUACUUACCUCACCUGCUGCACUGUACAUCCAUGUUACUGUUCCUCUGUGACUCCAUGACAUAUUGAUGUUCUUGUUUCAGUGUUUUAGUUUAAAGCUGUCAGGAGAUAAGAAACCAAACUCAAGCUGUUGACGUGUCGGGUGUUGUUGAAUCAGGGUUGGAGAUCCACAAAGUCAGCAGCCCGUCGUUUUGACGCCGCGAGCGCUUCACACUCCACGUGUCGGCGGCUGUUGUUCUCCGUUCUGACGUGCUUUAAGUCGAGUUUAUUCUUCACCGUGAUGAGAUGUGUUUGAGGAAAAUAAAUCUACAUAUAUUUGUUGUUUACUGACUUUUAUAAACACGUGCAUGACGGCAUGCACACAUCCCCUCCACCGCUGUCGUUUCCCUGUAAAAACAUAAGCUGGGUAAAGUGCCUGCAUUGUUCUUUCUAAAGAGUGGAUGAAAAGUGACAAGCUGUUUUGAUCCUUUUUAGUGUGUACUUGAUUCUAAGAAUAUGUGCUCUGUUUAUUAAAAGAAAUGUAUUUGAAAAGAA